GACGGAGGAUGCAAGUGUUAUCCGGAAUCACUGGGCGUAAAGCGUCUGUAGGUGGUUUAAAAAGUCUAUUGUUAAAAAUUGAAGCUUAACUUCAAAGAUGCAAUGGAAACUUUUAAACUUGAGUAUGGUAGGGGUAGAGGGAAUUUCCAGUGGAGCGGUGAAAUGCGUAGAGAUCGGAAAGAACACCAACGGCGAAAGCACUCUGCUGGGCCGACACUGACACUGAGAGACGAAAGCUAGGGGAGCGAAUGGG
rnacentral:rRNA from 1 species